rnacentral:rRNA from 1 species
AGUAACGGCGAGUGAACGGGGAAGAGUCCAUAGCCGAAUCCUGCACUUAACGGUGCGGGAAAUGUGGCGUGUGGGAGUCGACAUUCUUCGAGUGCGGCUGGCGGCGCAAGUUCCCAUGAGAGGGGCACUUAUCCGGAGCGGGUGCUAGGCCCGUACCGCUGCUGGCCCGCGCGCGAAGUCGUCGGCCUCCCGGGAGUCGGGUUGCUUGGGAGUGCAGCCCAAAGUGGGUGGUAAACUCCACCUAAGACUAAAUACGACCGAGAGACCGAUAGCAAACAAGUACCAUGAGGGAAAGUUGAAAAGCACUUUGAAGAGAGAGUUCAAGAGUACGUGAAACCGUUCAGAGGUAAACGGGUGGGGCCUCGAAGUCCUAAGUCGGUGGUGCACUCAGGUCGGCGACGCUCGCCGGUCCGUUAGGUGCUGCUCCACGAGCGGAGGAGCCGAGCGGAUCUUUCGGCAGCGUUGACGUAUCGCACUUGCAUCCCCCGUCUAGCAGGGCGUCGCAAUCGGUUGGUAGGCCGUCAAAGGACGGACCGAAAGGUAGCCGCUUUUCCUUCGGGAUUCGCGGUGUUACAGGCGGAACGAUUCCCGACGGGUCUGCCGACCGAGGUGAUUUACUGGCGUUCCCUUCCCACGAGAGGGGGCGGUGAGUCGGGAGUAGCGGUUACGACGCGUCGUGACACCGGAACUGUGAACGAUUCGUUUGUGGCCCGUCUAUCUCUCGAUUCGGCUGCCGGGAGCCAGGGAUUGGCGGCGAGUAGGUCGGUUACCCACCCGACCCGUCUUGAAACACGGACCAAGGAGUCUAAUGCGCGUGCGAGUUCCCGGGACUUGAUUAGGCCCGAGGGCGCAAUAAAAGUGAAUGGCGGUUCGGCCUCCAGAGUUGGGAUCCCGCACCUUCCGGGUGCGGGCGCACCGACGGCCCGUUCAUGCCGAUUUCGGCGGGGCGGAGCUAGAGCACGCGCAUUGGGACCCGAUAGAUAGUGAACUAUGCCUGGGCAGGACGAAGCCAGAGGAAACUCUGGUGGAGGUCCGCAGCGAUUCUGACGUGCAAAUCGAUCGUCAGACCUUGGUAUA